rnacentral:rRNA from 1 species
GAGUUUGAUCCUGGCCAGGAUGACCCCUGGCCGCCUGCUUAACACAUGCAAGUCGAACGGUGAAGCUCAGCUUGCUGGGUGGAUCAGUGGCGAACGGGUGAGUAACACGUGAGCAACCUGGCCCGGACUCUGGGAUAAGCGCUGGAAACGGCGUCUAAUACUGGAUAUGAACUGGGACCGGAUGGUCAGUGGUUGGAAAGAUUUUUCGGUCUGGGAUGGGCUCGCGGCCUAUCAGCUUGUUGGUGAGGUAAUGGCUCACCAAGGCGUCGACGGGUAGCCGGCCUGAGAGGGUGACCGGCCACACUGGGACUGAGACACGGCCCAGACUCCUACGGGAGGCAGCAGUGGGGAAUAUUGCACAAUGGGCGGAAGCCUGAUGCAGCAACGCCGCGUGAGGGAUGACGGCCUUCGGGUUGUAAACCUCUUUUAGCAAGGAAGAAGCGAAAGUGACGGUACUUGCAGAAAAAGCGCCGGCUAACUACGUGCCAGCAGCGCGGUAA